CACGCCGUAAACGAUGAAUACUAGGUGUAGGAGGUAUCGACCCCUUCUGUGCCGUCGCAAACGCAAUAAGUAUUCCACCUGGGGAGUACGGCCGCAAGGCUGAAACUCAAAGGAAUUGACGGGGGCCCGCACAAGCAGUGGAGUAUGUGGUUUAAUUCGAAGCAACGCGAAGAACCUUACCAGGGCUUGACAUCCUCUGACAGCUUUAGAGAUAAAGUGUCCCUUCGGGGCAGAGAGACAGGUGG
rnacentral:rRNA from 1 species